UGCUAUCUAGUUCGGUUCCUACAAUUUGCUUGUUUAAGUUAUCAACAUAAGCCCUGUGAUGCUUUCCCCAGUGAUACUCCAGGGUAUCCUUGCUCAUAUGUGGCUCCAAUGCGUUCAGAGGAUAUGGAGGCGGCUUGAGCUCAAAUUUUGCUGUAAUUAUGGCAGGGCCCGGCUUUCUAGUGCACUGCUGCUUCUUUGUCCAUUGUAAUCCACUAGUUGCUCGAUUCAGUCCUCCUUGGCGGUGAAAUAGUGCGCAGUUUAGCGAGGCGGCUGUAGCAGCUGCUGGUACCAUUGCUCUACUCUUUCUGUCUCUCUCCCCCUCAAAAG
rnacentral:misc_RNA from 1 species